rnacentral:misc_RNA from 1 species
AAGUCAUAACAAGGUUUCCGUAGGUGAACCUGCGGAAGGAUCAUUAUUGAAUUCGGCCUUUUGGCCUUAUACAUAUAAUAACACUGUGAACCGUGGCUUCGGCCCAAACUUGAAGUCUAGAAUGUAAUAUAUCAUAACAAAAUACAACUUUUAACAACGGAUCUCUUGGCUCUC